rnacentral:rRNA from 1 species
UACAGAGACUGCAAGCGUUAUUCGGAUUCACUGGGGCGUAAAGGGUGCGUAGGCGGUCGGGUAAGUCUGAUGUGAAAUCUCACAGCUUAACUGUGAAACUGCAUUGGAUACUAUCCGGCUAGAGGAAUGGAGGGGAGACUGGAAUACUUGGUGUAGCAGUGAAAUGCGUAGAUAUCAAGUGGAACACCAGUGGCGAAGGCGAGUCUCUGGACAUUUCCUGACGCUGAGGCACGAAAGCCAGGGGAGCAAACGGG